rnacentral:lncRNA from 1 species
GUAACAACUGUUGCCUAUGUUUACAGCAGGCUAAAUGAGGAAAUGCCAGCUGUAUGACUUUAUUUCAUGCGCGUUUUGGGAUAGGCGGUGAAGUUAAGAGCAAUGUUUUGCGGGCAGGGGCCGAUCUCACAAAGUACAUUCUCAUGGGGAGAAUUACAAAGAACCUUCUUAAGGGCAAGGAAGUGCAACUUUUUUUUGUUAUUGUACACCUUGAAGGUGAGAUUAAUCAAGUCCCGUUGUGGGGUUUGAGGGCCAG